CAGUCGCCGCGGGAAUACGAAGGGGGCUAGCGUUGCUCGGAAUGACUGGGCGUAAAGGGCGCGUAGGCGGCUGUUACAGUCAGACGUGAAAUUCCUGGGCUCAACCUGGGGGCUGCGUUUGAUACGUGAUGGCUUGAGUUCGGAAGAGGGUCGUGGAAUUCCCAGUGUAGAGGUGAAAUUCGUAGAUAUUGGGAAGAACACCGGUGGCGAAGGCGGCGACCUGGUCCGAUACUGACGCUGAGGCGCGAAAGCGUGGGGAGCAAACAGGAUUAGAGACCCCCGUAGUCCCUGUCUCUUAUAC
rnacentral:rRNA from 1 species